rnacentral:rRNA from 1 species
UGGGGAAUCUUGGACAAUGGGGGCAACCCUGAUCCAGCCAUGCCGCGUGAGUGAUGAAGGCCUUAGGGUCGUAAAGCUCUUUCGCCUGUGAAGAUAAUGACGGUAGCAGGUAAAGAAACCCCGGCUAACUCCGUGCCAGCAGCCGCGGUAAUACGGAGGGGGUUAGCGUUGUUCGGAAUUACUGGGCGUAAAGCGCACGUAGGCGGACCAGAAAGUUGGGGGUGAAAUCCCGGGGGCUCAACCCCGGAACUGCCUCCAAAACUAUUGGUCUAGAGUUCGAGAGAGGUGAGUGGAAUUCCAAGUGUAGAGGUGAAAUUCGUAGAUAUUUGGAGGAACACCAGUGGCGAAGGCGGCUCACUGGCUCGAUACUGACGCUGAGGUGCGAAAGUGUGGGGAGCAAACAGGAUUAGAUACCCUGGUAGUCCACACCGUAAAACGAUGAAUGCCAGUCGUCGGGUAGCAUGCUAUUCGGUGACACACCUAACGGAUUAAGCAUUCCGCCUGGGGAGUACGUCGCAAGAUUAAAA